GAUCCUGGCUCAGGAUGAACGCUGGCGGCGUGCUUAACACAUGCAAGUCGAACGAGGGGAUUUUGGAUGAGACUUCGGUGGUAUUCCGGAAUACCGAGUGGCGGACGGGUGAGUAACGCGUGGGCAACCUGCCCUGUACAGGGGGACAACAGCUGGAACGGCUGCUAAUACCGCAUAAGCGCACGGUAUCGCAUGAUACAGCGUGAAAAACUCCGGUGGUACAGGAUGGGGCCCGCGUUGGAUUAGG
rnacentral:rRNA from 1 species